rnacentral:rRNA from 1 species
GACGAACGCUGGCGGCGUGCUUAACACAUGCAAGUCGAACGAUGAAGAAAAGAAUCGAAGCUUCGGCAGAAAUUCAUUUCGGAUUAGUGGCAGACGGGUGAGUAACGCGUGAGCAACCUACCUCUUACAAAGGGAUAGCCUCGGGAAACCGGGAUUAAUACCAUAUAACAUUGCGACGAAGCAUUUCGAUGCAAUCAAAGCUACGGCGGUAAGAGAUGGGCUCGCGUCCCAUUAACCGGAUGGUGAGGUAACGGCUCACCAUAGUGACGAUGGGUAACCGGCCUGAGAGAGUGAACGGUCACACUGGAACUGAGACACGGUCCAGACUCCUACGGGAGGCAGCAGUGGGGAAUAUUGCACAAUGGAGGGAACUCUGAUGCAGCGACGCCGCGUGAGUGAUGAAGGAAUUCGUUUCGUAAAACUCUGUUCUAUGGGAAGAAAAGGACUGUACCAUAGGAGAAAGCUCCGGCUAAAUACGUG